GCAGACACAUUCCAGCCAAUGAGCAGCAGACCCUCCCUCCCAGACCCUCCCACCUCCUGGACAGCUCACUAAGAAUGCAGCUUCACAAUGAAUGUAAAAUGGAUGCUGUCCAGGAGGUGGGAGGGUCUUGGAGGGAGGGUCUGCUGCUGAUUGGCUGGAAUGUGUCUG